GGUUUGACCUCGGAUCAGGUAGGGUUACC
rnacentral:rRNA from 1 species